AGAAACUUAGGAUUAAAAAUUAAACCUAGAGCCUUCAAAUCUCCCAAUAGAAGUUGAAAUCUUCUAGUUUCUG
rnacentral:tRNA from 1 species